UACGAAGGGGGCUAGCGUUGUUCGGAAUUACUGGGCGUAAAGGGCGCGUAGGCGGCUGUGCAAGUCAGGUGUGAAAGCCCUGGGCUCAACCCAGGAUGUGCACUUGAUACUGCGCGGCUAGAGUGGCGGAGAGGAUGGUGGAAUUCCCAGUGUAGAGGUGAAAUUCGUAGAUAUUGGGAAGAACACCGGUGGCGAAGGCGGCCAUCUGGACGCCAACUGACGCUGAGGCGCGAAAGCGUGGGGAGCAAACAGG
rnacentral:rRNA from 1 species